CUCCAACACUUUACUAUUCUCUGUUCAAGCGGUGGAGCUCUGAGGGCUGGGCGGCCAGGCGCUCGAGCAGCGAGGCAGCGGCGCUCGCGCACGGCGGCGCCCACGCGCUCACGCUUGGCAGUAGCCGGGUGGCGGUGGUUGCUCACCCGUGCUCGGCAGCAACAAGGUGGUGCCCGCUCGGCAGCAGCAAGGCGGUCGUAGCCGCUCGCCCGCGCGCCUUCGUGCGGUAGCGGCGAGACGACGGCGCUCGCUCGCCCACACUCGUCAGCAGUGAGACGGUGGCCCCCACUCGCUCGUGCACCUUCGUGAGGCAGCGGAAAAUAAACGUAUGUAUCACACAUGAUUGAUCGACGUGUGUGUCGGCGAUUUAAAGUCAGCGGCAAUCAUGUGUGCACCCCAUCGACUUCGUGUCGGCGAUAAAAUCUGCUAAGAGAUGCAUGCUUUAGGUAUUUGUGCUAAAAAAACAGAACUCCAAUACACAGAUCAUAAAAUAUAUGAAUUCAGCACCUUUUACA